rnacentral:rRNA from 1 species
UACGUAGGGCGCAAGCGUUGUCCGGAAUUAUUGGGCGUAAAGAGCUCGUAGGCGGUUUGUCGCGUCGGAUGUGAAAGCCCGGGGCUUAACCCCGGGUCUGCAUUCGAUACGGGCAGACUAGAGUGUGGUAGGGGAGAUCGGAAUUCCUGGUGUAGCGGUGAAAUGCGCAGAUAUCGGGAGGAACACCAGUAGCGAAGGCGGCACUCUGGGCCGGUACUGACGCUGAGGAGCGAAAGCGUGGGGAGCGAACAGG